rnacentral:rRNA from 1 species
UCGGGAAUUUUGGGCAAUGGAGGGAACUCUGACCCAGCCAUGCCGCGUGCAGGAUGAAGGCGUUAUGCGUUGUAAACUGCUUUUAUAUAGGAAGAAAUAGUCCUUGCGAGGAAAGUUGACGGUACUAUAUGAAUAAGCACCGGCUAACUCCGUGCCAGCAGCCGCGGUAAUACGGAGGGUGCAAGCGUUGUCCGGAUUUAUUGGGUUUAAAGGGUGCGUAGGCGGUUUAUUAAGUCAGUGGUGAAAGACGGUCGCUCAACGAUUGCAGUGCCAUUGAUACUGGUAGACUUGAGUAUGAUUGAGGUAGCUGGAAUGGAUAGUGUAGCGGUGAAAUGCAUAGAUAUUAUCCAGAACACCAAUUGCGUAGGCAAGUUACUAAGUCAUAACUGACGCUGAGGCACGAAAGUGUGGGUAUCAAACAGGAUUAGAUACCCUGGUAGUCCCUGAGCGGGCUGGCAAGGCGCAU